GCUCGACUGGCCCAGUGGUUAAGGCGUCUGUGUAUGUUCUACUUAUCACUCACUAGAAAUGGUCCACCGCUAACAUCCUCCCUUACAGCUUACACACAGAAGAUCCUCGGUUCGAUCCCGAGGUUGAGCA